GGUUCGUAGACCGUACAAUGAUCUGUAAUUGUUCAAAUCUUUGUCCUUUUUGUCUAUAUGGAUAGAUUUUUCAUUGGCAACUAUACCAGCUCAUCUUAUUUUGUAGGUCUUAUAUGUUUGUAUUGUCCCUGGAGAUGAGUAGACAAGAUGCAGGUUGGUAAUGGCAGUUAUUUGAUUGUUUUUGUUAAAUUUCUUCAAUUUAUAAAGACUCUGGACGAUAAAGACAUGUAAUACAGACACAGAUAAUUUUGUGCAUAUACUUCACAUGAUGUCAUCUACUUUUAUUCAUAUACGUAUUUCUUGUGUAACAUGCUAAACAAUAUUUAUUCCGUUAUUACACUAACUGGCUUUACUUUUGGUUCUUUUUAGUUGUAUCAGCUCAUCACGUUUAUAGUUAGUUUUGGACCUCCAAAUAUUUUGGCUGGAGCAUCACUGAGGAGAUACUUUAAUACGGUCGAAGUAUGCAUCUGUUGCAAUUACAAUCGGUACAGUUAUAAUGUUAAUAUUAUUACGUAAUUAGUACGUAUAUCAUGUACUGACUUACUAUAUUGUUUUUAGUUGUUAUUAAACUUAUGGUUUAAUUAAUUGUGUUAAUAUAUGUUUUCAUUUUAGUAUUAUUGUCAUUUUGUUUAUUUUUUUUGUUACAUCUUCUGACAUCAGACUCUGACUUCUCUUGAACUGAAUUUUAAUGUGCGUUUUGUUAUGCGUUUACUUUUCUACAUUGGCUAGAGGUAUAGGGGAAGGGUUGAGAUAUCAUAAACAUGUUUAACCCCACCGCAUUUUUGCGCCAGUCCCAAGUCAGGAGCCUCUGGCCUUUGUUAGUCUUGUAUUAUUUUUAAUUUUACUUUCUUGUGUACAAUUUGGAGUUAAGUAUGGCGUUCAUUAUCACUGAAC
rnacentral:lncRNA from 1 species